rnacentral:lncRNA from 1 species
GCUUUUAUUGACACUCCUGAUCGUGAAAUUUUUGCGAGUUUGACAUGCUGUUGUAACGAGAAAUUUGAGAAAGAAAAAGGUGCUGUCGCCACUCAGCUUGUGGGUGAGAGGGUGCAAAUUAUUAUAAAUGAAGUGGCAGACUUGGCACCCAUCUUCAAUGUCUAGAGCACAUUGGCGAGGACUUUCAACCUCUAAUGGGUGGACUGGAGAAUGAACCUUAUUCAUUUGUUGGAGAUGCCGUUCUCAAGGACUACAUAUAUUUUAUUUGUUCACCUAGAUAAGAAUGAAGACAAAUCAAUCUGCUCAUGUUAGCUACUCUCUCUCUCUCUCUCUC